rnacentral:lncRNA from 1 species
UGGCCCAUAGAAGGCUGACUCGUGGUCUGAAACACAGAACGGGUAGUGGGCUGGAGGGCACGUGCCUGCCCUUUAAAAGAACUAUCCACCGACACACCUGAAUUGACUCUCUUCGAAACAUUAGCAACAGAUUUCCUGCCCGUUGGUGUCAUAAUUAGAGAAGCAUUUAAGGGAGCUUUCCCUUUAUUCUUCAGAUUUGAUUGUGGUUCCUUAAUUAUUUCUUCUACCGAAGGCACCUCCUCCAAAUCUGCAAGAGAUUGGAACCGUGAUCCCAGAUUUUUCUCUCCUUUCAAAUUAUUGCCUUUUUUAGAACCCUCCAGAUUGCCGCGCUUGGACUUUCUCUCCACCAGCAUCCAAGGCCCGUAAGCUUCUUCUCCGGCCACCACAUUAGUACUCGAAUCAUGGCCCGACGACUCACCCUUCUCAUUUUCCCCUGAUCUUUGUGUGAUCAUUGAACAGGAUUCUUUAGUGUGACCAUAACAACCACAAUUAAAACAUACCACAGGUAAGUUUUCAUACUCAAUCCUCUGAGGGUUACCAUUAAUAAAGAUUUUAGAGACUAACGGCCGUCCCCGAUUGACAAGCACUGCCAUACGAGCAUAACGACCCCUUGCUCUACUAUCCGUGUUCGUAUCCAAUUUGGUGACUUUCCCUAUCAAGCCUCCUAUCUCUAUAAGUAUCUGUUUUUUAUAAAAAUGACUAGGUAACCCAGGAAAGCGAAUCCAAGUAAGGACCUAAUUUGGGUAGGGCAAAUUGGGAUUGAAAUCAAUCGUCUAAGGCUGGACCGUAAGAUAAUGACCGAAAAUAACCCACGGUCCCUGAGAAAGAAUUUUGUUGUAAUCUGCAGUAGUCUCAAAUUUUGCAAGAUAGUAGCCAUUUUCUAUAUCCAUUAAUUGAAAAGGCUUAGCCGGCUUCCAUAUUCCAUAUAAUCUAUUUUGCAGGGUCGUAAUUCCAAGGUUCCUUCCCAGCAUCUUAAGAACCACCGAGGUUGACAUUUCCUUUUCCAGAAGUUGAUAGACUCUCUCCGAGAAAUCAAUUGAGGGAACUCCAUCAAUACAAUAUUUCUUGACAUCCUGCUUUGUAAGGGCGAAACUAUCUGCAGAGCACUGGUCCUCAGACGUGUUAUUUAGAUCUAAAGUUUCCUUCCCCACUAACAUAUCCUUCCAAGACAACGAAGGCUCUGGUAGUGGAUCUACCACCAUAACAUCAUCAGAAGACACAUCCGAUUCCUUAAAUCUGACCUUCUUAGUAUUAGAAUCAUCAAGGAAAGGGAUAUCCUCUCUGAUCUUGUUUGCACUUUCAACCACAGAAGACGAGAGCAUUCUUACCAAAAAAAAAAAAACUUUUAAUUGAUACAAAUACUUAAAUCAUAUAUAUUUUA